GGCGGACGGGUGAGUAACACGUGAGAAUCUACCCUAAGGAGGGGAAUAACAGCUGGAAACGGUUGCUAAUACCCCAUAUGCCGAAAGGUAAAAGGAUUUAUCCACCUUAGGAAGAGCUCGCGUCUGAUUAGCUAGUUGGUGAGGUAAAGGCUCACCAAGGCCAUGAUCAGUAGCUGGUUUGAGAGGACGAUCAGCCACACUGGGACUGAGACACGGCCCAGACUCCUACGGGAGGCAGCAGUGGGGAAUUUUCCGCAAUGGGCGAAAGCCUGACGGAGCAAUACCGCGUGAGGGAUGACGGCCUGUGGGUUGUAAACCUCUUUUCUCAAGGAAGAAGUUCUGACGGUACUUGAGGAAUAAGCAUCGGCUAACUCUGUGCCAGCAGCCGCGGUAAUACAGAGGAUGCAAGCGUUAUCCGGAAUCACUGGGCAUAAAGCGUCUGUAGGUGGUUUGGUAAGUCUGCUGUUAAAGACUGGGGCUCAACCCCAGAAAAGCAGUGGAAACUGCCAGACUUGAGUGUGGUAGAGGUAAAGGGAAUUCCUAGUGUAGCGGUGAAAUGCGUAGAUAUUAGGAAGAACACCAAUGGCGAAGGCACUUUACUGGGCCAUAACUGACACUGAGAGACGACAGCUAGGGGAGCAAAUGGGAUUAGAUACCCCAGUAGUCCUAGCCGU
rnacentral:rRNA from 1 species